rnacentral:rRNA from 1 species
UACGUAGGGUGCAAGCGUUAAUCGGAAUUACUGGGCGUAAAGCGUGCGCAGGCGGUUCGUUGUGUCGGCGGUGAAAGCCCCGGGCUUAACCUGGGAAUGGCCGUUGAAACUGGCGAACUGGAGUGUGGCAGAGGGGGGUGGAAUUCCGCGUGUAGCAGUGAAAUGCGUAGAGAUGCGGAGGAACACCGAUGGCGAAGGCAGCCCCCUGGGCUAACACUGACGCUCAGGCACGAAAGCGUGGGGAGCAAAUAGG